AAUGGAUCAAAUACAUAAGUUACUAAGGGCUUAUGGUGGAUGCCUUGGCACUAGAAGGCGAUGAAGGACGUGCAAACCUGCGAAAAGCUACGGGGAGCUGGU
rnacentral:rRNA from 1 species